AAGACUGUACUUUGAGGGACCACCCCUAUCGUUCACUAGUAGAGAAGCUCCUAUGAACAUGUAGAGUACCUAAAAGCAGGAGGCUGAAGUGUGCUGUUUUCUCCUGAGCACGAAGCAAGUUCUUCCUGUGGCUAUGCUGCAACAACCUUCUGCCAUUGGCGAUCGUUCUUCUUCCCUUUGGGAGAGUUAGAGAGAGAAAGCAUCAUAUGA
ensembl:snoRNA U3 Small nucleolar RNA U3